rnacentral:rRNA from 1 species
AUCCUGGCUCAGAGUGAACGCUGGCGGCGUGCCUAACACAUGCAAGUCGAACGAUGAUGGAGGAGCUUGCUCUUCCUGAUUAGUGGCGCACGGGUGAGUAUACCAUAGAUAAUGUACCUCUUAGUUCGGGAUAGCCACUGGAAACGGUGAUUAAUACCGCAUACGCCCUGAGGGGGAAAUGGGGGACCGCAAGGCCUCACGCUAUACGAGCGGCCGAUGUCGGAUUAGCUAGUUGGUAGGGUAAAGGCCUACCAAGGCGACGAUCCGUAGCGGGUCUGAGAGGAUGAUCCGCCACACUGGGACUGAGACACGGCCCAGACUCCUACGGGAGGCAGCAGUGGGGAAUUUUGGACAAUGGGCGCAAGCCUGAUCCAGCCAUGCCGCGUGAGUGAAGAAGGCCUUCGGGUUGUAAAGCUCUUUCAGACGGAAAGAAAUCGGUGAGGUUAAUACCUUCACUGGAUGACGGUACCGUAAGAAGAAGCACCGGCUAACUACGUG